GCCUACGGGGGGCAGCAGUGAGGGAUAUUGGACAAUGGGGGGAACCCUGAUCCAGCGACGCCGCGUGGAGGAUGAAGGUUUUCGGAUUGUAAACUCCUUUUGUUAGAGAAGAUAAUGACGGUAUCUAACGAAUAAGCACCGGCUAACUCCGUGCCAGCAGCCGCGGUAAUACGGAGGGUGCAAGCGUUACUCGGAAUCACUGGGCGUAAAGAGCGCGUAGGCGGGUUAGCAAGUCAGAUGUGAAAUC
rnacentral:rRNA from 1 species